UGGAGAAUGGUGUAAUGGCAGCACAACAAGUUUUGGUCUUGUUUGUCCGGGUUCGAGUCCCGGUUCUUCAUCA
rnacentral:tRNA from 2 species